rnacentral:misc_RNA from 1 species
AAGUCGUAACAAGGUUUCCGUAGGUGAACCUGCGGAAGGAUCAUUAACACGUAUCCAACGUUAAACCCCCCGUGAACCUUCAGUGCGCUCGCACUUUCUUAGAAAAGGUAGCAAUCAGCUCUGUACGAAUGGCGCAGUCACGAUCGACACGGCCGGCGACCGGGUCACUGGGCGCGAGCCCUCCUCGUCACCUUUGCAUGAAAACGGGCCUGCGCUUAAUUGUGCGGCCACCAAACUCGAACAACUGUUAACAAUGGAUAUCUUGGUUCUC